GAUCAUGGCUCAGAGCGAACGCUGGCGGCAGGCCUAACACAUGCAAGUCGAACGGACCCUUCGGGGUUAGUGGCGGACGGGUGAGUAACACGUGGGAACGUGCCUUUAGGUUCGGAAUAGCUCCUGGAAACGGGUGGUAAUGCCGAAUGUGCCCUUCGGGAGAAAGAUUUAAUCGCCUUUAGAGCGGCCCGCGUCUGAUUAGCUAGUUGGUGAGGUAACGGCUCACCAAGGCGACGAUCAGUAGCUGGU
rnacentral:rRNA from 1 species